AGCAGCCGCGGUAAUUCCAGCUCCAAUAGCGUAUAUUAAAGUUGUUGCAGUUAAAAAGCUCGUAGUUGAAUUUCGGGAUCAAUACGUCGGUCGUGCCUUCGGUACGCACUGGCGUCGUUGAUUUCUCCCUUCUGAUGAACCAUGAUGUCAUUAAUUUGGUGUUGUGGGGAGCCAGGACUGUUACUUUGAAAAAUUAGAGUGUUUAAAGCAGGCAAACGCUUGAAUACAUUAGCAUGGAAUAAUGAAAUAGGACGUUCGGACCUAUUUUGUUGGUUUCUAGGUACAACGUAAUGAUUAAUAGGGAUAGUUGGGGGCAUUAGUAUUCAAUUGUCAGAGGUGAAAUUCUUGGAUUUAUUGAAGACUAACUACUGCGAAAGCAUUUGCCAAGGAUGUUUUCAUUAAUCAAGAACGAAAGUUAGGGGAUCGAAGACGAUCAGAUACCGUCGUAGU
rnacentral:rRNA from 1 species